rnacentral:lncRNA from 1 species
UAUAGUCAUUUUGACAGUAUUGAUUCUUCCAAUCCAAGAGCAUGGUAUAUCUUUCCAUCUGUUUGUGUCGUCUUUGAUCUCUUUCAUCAGCAUCUUAUGCUUUUCAGAGAACACGUGUUUGGUCUCUUUAGGUAGGUUUAUUCCUAGGUAUUUUAUUAUUUUGAUGCAAUGGUAAAUUGGGUUGUUUCCCUAAUUUCUCUUUCUGAUCCUUCAUUGAUAGUAUAUAGAAAUGCAGUGGAAAUCUAUGUAUUAAUUUUGUAUCCUGUGACUGCCAAAUUCACUGAUGAGUUCUAAUAGUUUUCUGGUAUAGUCUUUAGGAUUUUCUAGGUACAACAUCAUGUCAUCUGCAAAUAGUGAUAGUUUUACUUCGUCCUUUCCAAUUUGGAUUCCUUUUAUAUUUAUCUUCUCUGAUUGCUGUGACUAGGACUUCCAAAACUAUGUUGAAUAGUAGUGGUGAGAACAGACAUCCUUGUCUUAGUCCUUAUCUCAGCAGGAAUACUUCCAGCUUUUCUCCAUUGAGAAUGAUGUUAGCUGUGGGUUUGCCAUAUAUGGGCUUUAUUAUGUUGAUAUAGCUUCCCUCUAUGCCCUCUUUCUUGGGGGGGGUAUCAGAAAUGGGUGUUGGAUUCUGACAAGAGCUUUUUCUGUGUCUAUUGAGAGGAUCAUAUGAUUUUUAUUCUUCAGUUUGUUAAUGUGGUGUAUCACACUAAUGGAUUUGUAUAUAUUGAAAAAUCCUUGCAUCCCUGGGAUAAAUUCCACUUGAUGAUGGUGUACAAUUCUUUUAAUGUAUUGUUGGAUUAGGUUUGCUAGUAUUUAAUUGAGAAUUUUUGCAUCUAUGUUCAUUAGUGAUAUUGGCCUAUAAUUUUCAUUUUUAAUGGUAUCUUUGUCUGGUUUUUGUAUCAGGUUAAUGGUAGCCUCCUAGAAUGAGUUUGGGAGUGUUCCUUCCUCUACAAUUUUUUGGAAUAGUUUCAGGAUAAGUGUUAACUCUUCUCUAAAUUUUUGAUAGAAUUCUCCUGUGAACCCAUCUGGUCCUGGACUUUUGUUUGUUGGAAGUUUUUUUAAUCAGUUUCAAUUUCAGUACUUGUGAUUCAUCCAUUAAUCUUUUCUAUUUCAUUUUGGUAUAGUCUUGGAAGACUGUACUUUUCUAAGCAUUUGUCCAUUUCUCCUAGGCUGUCUAUUUCUUGGCAUAUAUUUUCUCAUAGUACUCUCUUAUAAUCCUUUGUAGUUCUGUGAUUUCCCAAUUUUACUGAUUUGAGUUCUCUCUCUCUCUCUUUUUUCUUGCUGAGCCUGGCUAAGGUUUUAUCAAUUUUAUUUAUCCUUUCAAGGAACCGCCUUUUAGUUUCAUUGAUCUUUUCUAUGGUUUUCUUCAUUUCUAUUUCAUUUAUUUCUGCUCUGAUCUUUAUGAUUUCUUUUCUUCUGCUAACUUUGGGUCUUUUCUGUUCUUCCCUUUCUAGUUGCUCUAGGUGUAGAGUUAGGUUGUUCAUUUGAGCUUUUUCUUGUUUUCUGAUAGGUUUGCAUUUCUAUAAACUUCCCUCAUAGAACUGCUUUUGCUACAUCCCAUAAGUUUUGUUGUAUCUUUGUUGCCAUUUGCUUCUAUGUAUUUUUUAAUUUCCCCUUUGAUUUAUUCAGUGAUCCAUUGGUUGGCUAGUAGCGUGUUGUGUAGUUUCCAUGUGUUUGUGUUUUUUGCAGUUUUUUUUUUCUUAUUGUUGACUUCCAGUGAUACAGUGUUGUGGUUGCAAAAUAUGCUUGAUAUGAUUUCAGCUUUCUUAAAAUUACUGAGGUUUGAUUUGUGGUCCAGAAUGUGAUCUAUCCUAGAGAAUGUCCUGGGUGCACUUGAGAGGAAUGUGUAUUCUAUUGGAUAGAAUAUUCUAUAAACACCUAUUAAGUCCAUCUGGUCUAAUGUAUCAUUUAAAACCUGUGUUUCCUUAUUGGUUUUUUUUUCUGGAUGAUCUGUCCUUUUCUGUAAAUGGGGUGUUAACGUCCUCUGCUAUUAUUGUGUUACUGUUGAUUUCUCCUUUUAAGGCUGUUAGCAGUUGCCUUAUAUAUUGAAGUGAUCCUAUGUUGGGUCAUAUGUAUUUAUAAUUGUUAUAUCUUCCUGGAUUGAUCCUUUGAUCACUAUGUAAUGUCAUUUUUUGUCUCUUAUAAUCUUUAUUUUAAGGUCUAUUUUGUCUGAUAUGAACAUUGCUACUGCAGCUUUCUUUUGAUUUCCAUUUGCAUGGAAUAUUUUCAUCCCUCCUCUCACUUUCAAUUUGUGUGUCCCUAGAACUGAAGUGGGUCUCUUGAAGACAGUGUAUAUAUAUAUGGGUCUUGUUUUUGUAUCUAUUCAGCCUGCCUAUGUCUUUUGGUUGGGGCAUUUAGUCCAUUUACAUUUAAGGUAAUUAUUGAUAUGUAUGUUCUUAUCGCCAUUUUAUCAACAGUUUUGGAUUUGUUUUGUUGGCCUUUAUUCUUCCUUUCUCUUGUUCUCUUCUCUUGUGGUUUGAUGACUAUCUUUAGUGUUGUAUCUACUGUAGAUUUUUGUUUUGCAGUUAGCCUCAAGUUUAGAUAUAGGAGUAUAUAGAUAUACAAGAUUUUUUUCAGUUGCUAGUCUCUUAAUUUCAAGUUUAUCUCCUAUGGCCUGUAUUUGUAGCCUCUUCUCACAAUUUCAGAUUUUGGAAGCAUGUUUGUGUGUGGAUGAUUUCCCACCUUGACUUAUGUGUAUGCCUUUACUAGUGAGCCUUGUCACUUGUAAUAUUUUUUUUUUGAGUUGUGGCCCUUUUCUUUUCCACCUAGAGAAGUUCCUUCAGUAUUUGUUGUAAAACUGGUUUGGUGGUGCUGAAUUCUCUUAGCUUUUGCUUAUCUGUAAAGCUUUUGAUUUCUCCUUUAAAUCUGAAUGAGAGCCUUGCUGGAGAAAGUAAUAUUGGUUGGAGGUUUUUUCCUUUCAUCAUUUUAAGUAUAUUGUGCCACUCCCUUCUGGCCUGCAGUUUCUGCUGAAAAAUCUUUUGAUAACCUUAUCAGGCUUCCCUUGUAUGUUAUUUAUUUAUUUUCCAUAGCUGCUUUAAGUAUUUUCUCUUUGUCUUUAAUUUUGGUCAUUUUGAUUAAUAUGUGUCUUGGGGUGCUCCUCCUUGGGUUUAUUUUAUAUGGUACUUGUGCUUCCUGGAAGUGAGUGAGUGAUUCCUUUCACAUAUUAGGGAAGUUUUCAGCUAUUAUCUCUUCAAAUAUUUUCUCUGGCCCUUUCUUUUCCCCUUCUGGCACCCCUAUAAUAUGGAUGUUGUGCAUUUAACAUUGUCCCAGAAUUCUGUUAGACUGGCUUCAUUUCUUUUCAGUCUUUUUUCUCUUUUCUGUUCCACAGAAGUGAUUUUGACUAGUCUUUCCUCCAUCUCAUUUAUUCAUUCUUCUGCCUCCUAUAUUCUGCUGUUGGUUGCUUCUUUGAUUUUUUUUUUAUUUUGGUUACUGUGAUUUGCAUGUUUGCUUGAUUAGCCCUUAAAUCUUCUAUUUCUUUCCUCGGUGUUUCUUGUAAUUUAUCAAUCUUUGCCUUCAGUUUAUUUCCAAGAUUUUGAAUCAUCUUUACUAUCAUCAGUCUAAAGAUUUUUCAUGGAAGUUGGUAAUCUCCAGAUCACUUAGUUAUUUUUCUGACAUUUUUGCUUACUCCUUUAUCUGACUAAUAAUUCUUUGCUUUUUCAUUUUGUAUAGAUUUUUGGUGUGAACUCCUUUUAUGCAGACAAUAGAGGUGUAGCCUCUCUGGCUUCUGAUGUCCACCCCCCUUGUGGCUGAAGUUGGUAUGGGGGCUUACUGUAAGCUUCCUGAUGGGAGGGACUGAUGUUUGCCCACUGAAGGUGGAGCUGAUUCAUAUCCCUCUGGUGUCUGGGGCUUUGUCUCCAGGUGAGGUGACUGUGUAAGUGGGGGCUCUUUAGGCAGCCUGUUUGCUGAUGAGUGGGCUGUGUUCCAGACUGGAUUAUUUUUUGGCUUCAGGCCUCUCAGCACUGAUGGGUGAGGCCAGGUUUUUUCCAAAAUGGCCAAGUCCAGAGGAGCACACACUGAGGAUGAUUCCUGAGAACUUUGCCUCCAGUGUCCUUCCCCCAGGAGAAGCCACAACCACCCCAUUUUCCCAGGGAAUCCUCCAAGAACUGCAGUCAGGUCAGACCCAGAUUCCUAUGGAGUCUCUGCUCUGCCCUGGGACCCAGUGCACAUGAAAGGCUUUGCACACCUUUCAAGAAUGGAGUCUCCAUUUCCCACACUCCUGUGGAGCUCCUGCACACAAACCCUGCUGGCCCUCACUACCAAAUGUUCCAGGCAUUAUUUCUCCCAAUGCCAGCUCCUCAGGCUUGGGAACUUGGUGUGAGGCUCAGAGCUCUCACUCCCGUAAGUUAGUCUCUGUGAUACAGUUACAUUCCAGCCUGCGGGCUGCCCACCCAGAGGAUAUGGGGUUGCUUAUAUCAUGUAACUGCCCCUUCUACCAUCUUGAUAUCUUUUCCUCUUUGUCUUCUGGAGUAGGAUAUCUUUUUGUAAUAGUUUGUAGUCAAUUUGUUUAAAGGUUGUUCAGCAGUUUGUUGUAAUUUUAUUUUAUGAGAGAAGGUAAUCUCUAGUCCUUCUACUCUGCCAUCUUAGUGUUGACCUUUAAUGUAUCAUAAAUACUUGUAAGAUGAUAGCAGGUUUUAUUGUUUUAUUAAUAUAUAUAUAUACUUUUCCUCUAAACUUCCCAUUUUCUUUUCAAAAUCAUAAUCUGCAAAGUUUUAAAUAUAUGGGCAUAUGAUAAAAGAAGAAGAAUAUAAAAAUUAUAAUGAAUUAUAAUCUUCAGGGAGACAAAAUCUAAACAAAAUGUGUGGCCAUGUACUUAGAUAUGUUUUAACUAAAUUAAACAGUAUUAAAAGGUUUUCAUUAUAAACUUGAAAACUUUGGAGUUCCUGUAGUGGCUCAGUGGUUAACGAAUCCGACUAGGAACUAUGAGGUUGCGGGUUCAAUCCCUGGCCUUGCUCAGUGGGUUAAGGAUCCAGCGUUGCUGUGAGCUGUGGUGUAGGUUGCAGAUGCGGCUCAGAUCCUGUGUUGCUGUGGCUCUGGUGUAGGCUGGUGGCUACAGCUCUGAUUCGACCCUUAGCCUAGGAACCUCCAUAUGCUGUGGGAGGAGCCCAAGAAAUGGC